rnacentral:rRNA from 1 species
UCCGUAGGGUGACCUGCGGAGGGAUCAUUACCGAGUUUACAACUCCCAAACCCCUGUGAACAUACCACUUGUUGCCUCGGCGGAUCAGCCCGCUCCCGGUAAAACGGGACGGCCCGCCAGAGGACCCCUAAACUCUGUUUCUAUAUGUAACUUCUGAGUAAAACCAUAAAUAAAUCAAAACUUUCAACAACGGAUCUCUUGGUUCUGGCAUCGAUGAAGAACGCAGCAAAAUGCGAUAAGUAAUGUGAAUUGCAGAAUUCAGUGAAUCAUCGAAUCUUUGAACGCACAUUGCGCCCGCCAGUAUUCUGGCGGGCAUGCCUGUUCGAGCGUCAUUUCAACCCUCAAGCACAGCUUGGUGUUGGGACUCGCGUUAAUUCGCGUUCCCCAAAUUGAUUGGCGGUCACGUCGAGCUUCCAUAGCGUAGUAGUAAAACCCUCGUUACUGGUAAUCGUCGCGGCCACGCCGUUAAACCCCAACUUCUGAAUGUGACCUCGGAUCAGGUAGGAAUACCCGCUGAACUUAAGCAUAUCAAUAAG